rnacentral:rRNA from 1 species
CCUACGGGAGGCAGCAGUGGGGAAUAUUGGACAAUGGGCGAAAGCCUGAUCCAGCAAUGCCGCGUGAGUGAUGAAGGCCUUAGGGUUGUAAAGCUCUUUUACCAGGGAUGAUAAUGACAGUACCUGGAGAAUAAGCUCCGGCUAACUCCGUGCCAGCAGCCGCGGUAAUACGGAGGGAGCUAGCGUUGUUCGGAAUUACUGGGCGUAAAGCGUACGUAGGCGGUUAUUCAAGUCAGAGGUGAAAGCCUGGAGCUCAACUCCAGAACUGCCUUUGAAACUAGAUAGCUAGAAUCUUGGAGAGGUGAGUGGAAUUCCGAGUGUAGAGGUGAAAUUCGUAGAUAUUCGGAAGAACACCAGUGGCGAAGGCGACUCACUGGACAAGUAUUGACGCUGAGGUACGAAAGCGUGGGGAGCAAACAGGAUUAGAUACCCUGGUAGUCCACGCCGUAAACGAUGAUAACUAGCUGUUCGGGCUCUACGAGCUUGAGUGGCGCAGCUAACGCAUUAAGUUAUCCGCCUGGGGAGUACGGUCGCAAGNUUAAAACUUAAAGGAAUUGACGG